CCACUUCACAUUAAGGCGCGGGGUCCUAUAUAGGGUCUCGCCGGUUUCGGCCGGCUAUGGUGAUAAAUGAUGGCGUGCAAUAGGCACAACGGACCCGGGGGCAGUACCCGGCGGCUCCACCAUCUCCGGCGACGAGAGCGCCGGCGUUGACGGGGCCGAACUAGGAUCGACGUGUGUUGAAAGGCGUUGUUUUCACCCGGGCUGAGUAACCCGCAUAAGGCUCAAAACCCAUAAGUGCCAACGACAACGAAGCACUUGCUCUCGCCGCGUAAUGUGACGGCUUAACGGCCUGAAUUUACAACGCAAAGAGCACGGUUCGGACCGAACCGGGUAACAGAAUCGGAAACC
rnacentral:tmRNA from 1 species